AAUCAACGCUGGCGGCGUGCCUCAGACAUGCAAGUCGAACGAUUAAACUUCCCUUCGGGGAAGAUAUAAAGUGGCGCACGGGUGAGUAACACGUAGGUAAUGUACCUUUGGGUGGGGAAUAACUUAGGGAAACUUAAGCUAAUACCGCAUAAUGCAGCGGCUCCUUCGGGAGACAGUUGUUAAAGAUUUAUCGCCUAAAGAGCAGCCUGCGGCAGAUUAGCUAGUUGGUAAGGUAACGGCUUACCAAGGCUACGAUCUGUAUCCGACCUGAGAGGGUGGUCGGACACACUGACACUGAAGAACGGGUCAGACUCCUACGGGAGGCAGCAGUCGGGAAUUUUGGGCAAUGGGCGAAAGCCUGACCCAGCAACGCCGCGUGAAGGAUGAAGUCUUUCGGGAUGUAAACUUCGUAAGAAUAGGAAGAAUAAAUGACGGUACUAUUUGUAAGGUCCGGCUAACUACGUG
rnacentral:rRNA from 1 species